GAGAAUAUUCGACAAUGGGCGAAAGCCUGAUCGAGCGACGCCGCGUGCGGGAAGAAGGCCUUCGGGUCGUAAACCGCGAUAGCAGGGGAAGAAGCCUUGUGCGUAGCACAAGAACUAAAAAACUAAAGAACCUAUAAACCAAAGAACAACUUGUUCUUACGUUUUUACGUUCAUGUGUUUUUCGGUUCUCGCGCUACGCGCGAGGUUGACGGUACCCUGUGGAAAGAGGUGGGUAACUACGUGCCAGCACCAGCGGUAAAACGUAGACCUCAAGCGUUAUCCGGAUUUAUUGGGCGUAAAGCGUGUGUAGGAUGUUCGGUGCGUCUUUUGUUAAAUCUCGGGGCUCAACCCUGAGGCUGCAAGAGAUACGGCCGAACUAGAGGACGUCAGAGGCCAGUGGAACGCACGGUGUAGGGGUGAAAUCCGUUGAUAUCGUGCGGAACACCAAAGGCGAAGGCAGCUGGCUGGGACGUUCCUGACUCUGAGACACGAAAGCGUGGGGAGCAAAAAGGAUUAGAUACGAAAUCUUUGUGGAGGGUUUUCCUUUUGCCCGUAGAAACAAAGAGCCCCGAUGUAAAUCGGGGUUGUCAAAGGUGUCCCCCUCGACGGCGACGUCGGGGUGAGCAUCUAGCUGUAUCGGGGAACUCCGUCCUGUCGGACGGACAAUCCCGAGGGAAGUCGACAGAAUGCAAAAUUGAAAGUUCAAAUUUCAUUUUGUUUGACCCCGUAGAGACUAUGAAAUUGAGUUAAGAUAGUUGGCGCAUUAUGUCAUGAGCGUAUAAAAUAAUAAUAUGCAAAAUGAUAAAAAGUAUGUGCCUUUGUCGGAUCAAGCGCGAGCCGUUAUUUUAGGAACAAUCCUAGGAGACGGUUCGUUGAAGAUUCAAAAAAAAUGUGCCAAUGCGAAUUUACAAAUUCGUCAUUCGGAAACACAAAAAGAUUAUCUCUUAUGGAAAGCAGAUAUGCUUCAAGAGAUAGCGCGAGAGAAAAGUAUUAGUGUCCAAAGGGCCGACGGUUUCAGCGUAAACAGCAAGUGGCGGUUUAUAAGCAGAAAUCUGCCAGCGUUAACUGAAUUGCAUCGCUUAACGUAUAAAAAUAACCGAUUGCGCAUUAGACGCACUUGGCUGAACCGAAUGACCCCGUUAUCGCUCGCCGUAUGGUGGUGUGAUGAUGGCUCACUUAUUAGUUACGGAGGAAGAAAGGGAGUAUUUUGUACCGAUGGCUUUGACAAAGAAUCUGUCAAAAUACUAUCUCGCUACCUUAAAGUAGUAUGGGAUAUAAAAAAUAUCGUAUCUCCCAUAUCCCGUAUCUAUAAAGGAGAGCGGCGGCAAUAUUGGCGGAUAUGGAUCAGAUCGCAGGAGGAAUUAAAAAAGUUUCUUCGCAUCAUUCUGCCGCAUAUACCAACGCCGGACAUGUUGCGCAAAGCAAUACUUCUCUAUAAAGAUUCUCAAUUUCAAGAACGCUGGAUAUCUGAGGUUGUAAGUUUGAGCCGCUUUCCUCGUUCGGUUAUUUUAUCCGAAUACGAGAAGAAACUGGCUCGAUGGACGGCUUUCAGAUAAAGAUAUAGUCCGGACUCUAUGGCAACAUAGAGAAGCCGACAGAAAUGUUCGGCUCGCGUGACAAUAAUACUAUUGUCGCGAAGUAACAAAUUCAACCCUUGUAGUCCACGCCCUAAACGAUGCCUGCUGGCUGUUUCGAGUAUCGACCCUCGGAGUGGCGAAGCUAACGCGUUAAGCAGGCCGCCUGGGAAGUACGAGCGCAAGCUUAAAACUCAAAGGAAUAGACGGGGACUCGCACAAGCGGUGGAGCAUGAGGUUUAAUUCGAUACUAAACGAGGAACCUUACCAGGGCUAGAAAUCUUGACGAAGACAUGCUGAAAGGCGUGUUGUCUCUCAAGGACGUCAGGACAGGUGCUGCAUGGUUGUCGUCAGCUCGUAUCGUGAGACGUUCCCUUAAGUGGGGAAACGAGCGCAACCCCUAUUGUCUGUUAUACGUGUCAGGCAAAACUGCCCAGCACUUUGCGCACAAGCGCAAAGAAAUCCUAAAUUCGAAAUCCUAAUCUCUAAACAAUCUCAAAAUUCCAAAUUCAAAUGUUCCAAACGUUUCGAAUUUGAGAUUUGAUUUUUAAAAUUUGUUUAGGAUUUAGAUAUUAGAGUUUAGAAAUUGCUUUGUUCGUUUGCGAACAAAGUGCUGGGAGGAAGGAGGGGACGACGUCAAAUCCGCAUGGCCCUCUGAUGCCCUGGGCUACACUCGUGCUACAAUGACCGGUACAAAGGGUUGCCAAACCGUAAGGUGGAGCUAAUCCCUUAAAACCGGCCCAAGUUCGGAUUGAGGGCUGCAACUCGCCCUCAUGAAGUCGGAAUCGCUAGUAAUCGCGGAUCAGCUAUGCCGCGGUGAAUACGUUCUCGAGUCCUGUACUCACCGCCCGUCACGUCAAGGAAGCCGGGAAUACCUAAAACUCCGUUUUGCGGGGUUAGGGUAAGUUCGGUGACACGGACGAAGUCGUAACAAGGCACGCGUAGCGGAAGCUGUGCGUGGAUU
rnacentral:rRNA from 1 species